UACGUAGGAGGCGAGCGUUGUCCGGAGUUACUGGGCGUAAAGGGUGCGUAGGCGGUGCCACAAGUCACUUGUGAAAUCCCCAGGCUUAACCUGGGGCCUGCAGGCGAAACUGUGGUGCUGGAGUAUGGGAGAGGUGCGUGGAAUUCCCGGUGUAGAGGUGAAAUUCGUAGAUAUCGGGAGGAACACCAGUGGCGAAGGCGGCCACCUGGACGGAUACUGACGCUGAGACGCGAAAGCGUGGGGAGCAAACAGG
rnacentral:rRNA from 1 species